rnacentral:rRNA from 1 species
CCUACGGGAGGCAGCAGUGGGGGAUAUUGCACAAUGGGGGGAACCCUGAUGCAGCGACGCCGCGUGGGUGAAGGAGUGCUUCGGCAUGUAAAGCCCUAUCGGCAGGGAAGAAGCAAGACGGUACCUGACUAAGAAGCCCCGGCUAACUACGUGCAAGCAGCCGCGGUAAUAGGGGGGGGGCGAGCGUUAUCCGGAUUCCGGGGGUGUAAAGGGAGCGUAGGCGGCCAAGCAAGCCAGGGGUGAAAGCCCGGGGCCCAACCCCGGGACUGCCCUUGGAACUGGAUGGCUGGAGGGCGGGAGGGGCAGGCGGAAUUCCUGGUGUAGCGGUGAAAUGCGUAGAUAUCAGGAGGAACACCGGCGGCGAAGGCGGCCUGCUGGACCGCGACUGACGUUGAGGCUCGAAAGCGUGGGGAGCGAACAGGAUUAGAUACCCUAGUAGUC